AGCGGAGGCAAGGGGGUUUUGCUGGAGAUCCCCGCCCACCUGAAGACUUCUAAAGUGAGGAAAUGAGGAGACUGCAAAGAAAAAUAAUGAAAGGCCUUUCUUGUGCAGCCCUGCUCUGCGAGAACCUGGAGCAGGCCCUCCUCCUUCUCCUUGGCCCUCACGCUAUAAGAAAUCCUGCUGUGGAUUUCACAACGGAGUGAUUGACAAGAUUAGAAAUUAUCUCCCCCUCUCUCUACAUAUAAGGUUACUGCCGCUCCAGGCACAGUGUGAAAUUCCCCUCGCCGGAGCUCAUUAAAUGGGUCAAUGGAUGUGUUCCAGCUUCUCUGCAGUUCACAAAGGGCUGAGUCCUGGCCACCCCACCAAACUCUGUCCCAGGCUGUUGACGAUGAGCAGAUUUCUUCUCCAAAUCACAGUCAUUAUGUACCAAUUUCUUCCUGAUGCUCUCCCCUGUGAGCCC
ensembl:lncRNA